ACGGGGGGAGCAAGCGUUGUUCGGAAUCAUUGGGCGUAAAGCGCGUGUAGGCGGCCCGGUAAGUCCGCUGUGAAAGUCGGGGGCUCAACCCUCGAAUGCCGGUGGAUACUGUCGGGCUAGAGUGCGGAAGAGGCGAGUGGAAUUCCUGGUGUAGCGGUGAAAUGCGCAGAUAUCAGGAGGAACACCAAUUGCGAAGGCAGCUCGCUGGGACGUGACUGACGCUGAGACGCGAAAGCGUGGGGAGCAAACAGGA
rnacentral:rRNA from 1 species